rnacentral:tRNA from 1 species
GGAGGGAUGGCAGAGCGGUUGAAUGCGGCGGUCUUGAAAACCGUUAGGCCCGCAAGGGUCUCGUAGGUUCGAAUCCUACUCCCUCCGCCA